CGAAAGCCUGACGGAGCAAUACCGCGUGAGGGAUGAAGGCCUUUGGGUUGUAAACCUCUUUUAUCAAGGAGGAAGUUCUGACGUGUACUUGAUGAAUAAGCAUCGGCUAACUCCGUGCCAGCAGCCGCGGUAAGACGGAGGAUGCAAGUGUUAUCCGGAAUCACUGGGCGUAAAGCGUCUGUAGGUGGUUUAAAAAGUCCACUGUUAAAAAUUGAAGCUUAACUUCAAAGAUGCCGUGGAAACUUUUAAACUUGAGUAUGAUAGGGGUAGAGGGAAUUUCCAGUGGAGCGGUGAAAUGCGUAGAUAUUGGAAAGACCACCAAUGGCGAAGGCACUCUACUGGGCCAUUACUGACACUGAGAGACGAAAGCUAGGGUAGCG
rnacentral:rRNA from 1 species